rnacentral:rRNA from 1 species
AUGAAUCCACCUGAGCACAAACUGCCCCCUGUUGCUGCCUGUGGAGCCGCCCUGCCCUAUGCUGCUGCUUCCACACCCCAAUGUUGCUCCUCCAAAGUGCCCUCCACUGUUGCGUUGGUCCUCUUGGUCACGCUGCGGAUGCUCCCGGAGCUCGCGUUGCACGGAGCGUGGAGGUUUGGACACGAGGAAGCCAUUGGAGUAGGCCGCGGAGCUCGCGGCGCACGGAGGCGUCGGAGACGAACGUCGACAUGCUCCAUCCCGGACCACAGCGCUCUCGUACCUGCGUCAGCACCCAGUGCAGUAGCAGGGGCGCCUUUUGUCGCCGACCGCAUCGCGCCCGCGCCCCAUCGCCUUCCCGCCGCUCCUCUUCGCCAGAGCUGCCGCCGCCGCGCGCUCCCCGCGCGCUCCCCGCGCAACCACCUCCACUCUGUGCUCGCGCAGAUCCUUGACGUGGCCUCCUGCUGCGUUGCCGAAGCCGCCCCAACACACGGGGCAGUAGCAGGGGCGGCCCCCGUCUUCAAACGCAUCGGCCCCCAUCUCCUUCUCGCCACUCCUCCCCGCCUCGGUCUCCAGGAGCAGCACCUCUGCCGCGGUCUCCGAGUAAGCCACCGGCGCAGCCGCCCACACACGAGCUCCUCGCCAUGGUGCUCGCGCUCCGGGAGCAGCACCUUCGCCGCGGUCUUCGAGUAA